rnacentral:rRNA from 1 species
AGAGUUUGAUCCUGGCUCAGGAUGAACGCUGGCGGUAUGCCUAACACAUGCAAGUCGUACGAGAGUUUUUAACUCAAGUGGCGGACGGGUGAGUAACACGUGAGAAUUUGCCUUUAGGAGGGGGAUAACAACUAGAAAUGGUUGCUAAUACCCCAUAUGCUUCCGAGUGAAAUAGAUUUAUCUGCCUAAAGAGAAGCUCGCGGCUGAUUAGCUUGUUGGUAAGGUAAUGGCUUACCAAGGCGACGAUCAGUGUCUGGUUUGAGAGGACGAUCAGACACACUGGAACUGAGACACGGUCCAGACUCCUACGGGAGGCAGCAGUGGGGAAUUUUCCGCAAUGGGCGAAAGCCUGACGGAGCAAUACCGCGUGAGGGAAGACGGCCUAUGGGUUGUAAACCUCUUUUUUCAGGGAGGAAUAAAAUGACGUGUACCUGAAGAAUAAGCAUCGGCUAACUCCGUGCCAGCAGCCGCGGUAAGACGGAGGAUGCAAGUGUUAUCCGGAAUCACUGGGCGUAAAGCGUCUGUAGGUGGUCAAAUAAGUCAACUGUUAAAUCUUGAGGCUCAACCUCAAAACCGCAGUCGAAACUAUUAGACUAGAGUAUAGUAGGGGUAAAGGGAAUUUCCAGUGGAGCGGUGAAAUGCGUAGAUAUUGGAAAGAACACCGAUGGCGAAGGCACUUUACUGGGCUAUUACUAACACUCAGAGACGAAAGCUAGGGUAGCAAAUGGGAUUAGAUACCCCAGUAGUCCUAGCUGUAAGCAAUGGAUACUAGAUGUUGAACAGAUCGACCUGUGCAGUAUCAAAGCUAACGCGUUAAGUAUCCCGCCUGGGAAGUAUGCUCGCAAGAGUGAAACUCAAAGGAAUUGACGG